GGUCUUUUUGGAAUUGCUGUGAAUGUUUACAUGUAAUAUUCGCCGCGUUGAUUUCUGUCAUCCAAAAAAUAUUUACUUGAUUAGCAGAUCGUCUUAAACUCUGCAUUGAAUUCGUGUUUCCAUAUAUUAUGGAUCUGAUCGCUGUAAGUGUUGUCCGACGUAGUCAUUAUGAAGAAAGCACUAGGGAACGCCAACAACUAAACACGAGCAAUUCUCCAUGGGAAAAUGAGUCUGAUAUUGGAGUCACAGCGUGCGCAGUGUCUCCUUAAAAUGUUAAAGCAUUUGCUUAUUAUGGAACACUGAAGUAGUAGUUCAGCAGGUCCAAGUGACCAAAACAUGAAUGUUGUUGUUUGUGACGCUAAUACCCCAUGGGAUACUCAUAUUGUUAAGAGCUGUGUGGCACAAGUAACUGUUCUGGAAUGGGAUCAAUCUGGUCAUUACUUGCUUAUUGGUGACACUGCGGGAAAUGCAGAAAUCGGGACAACACUCACACAUCUUUUGAAUGAAUGGACCAGAGUAGCUAACAUUUGCAUUCCAGAUGAGCCAAUCCAGGCUGGAAUGUUUUUCUUUAAUGACAUUUUUAAAUUGCCAAAACCGGGAAAGUGUGUCAUAUCUGGUGGACAAGUAUAUUCAAGUAGAUAUGAAACCAACUAUUCGCGGAUUUGGAGGUCGUCCUUUACAAGGUUUUCUUAUUGUUGGAAUGACUGGCCUUGUGCAAGCUUUUGUGAUGGGUGGUACUAAAGGGAAAACAAAAAAUGUAGAAAUUCUUGGCGGAAUAAGAUUAGCAUAUUCCUUUGUGGAUCUUGCCUGGACAAAAGAUGGAGAAAUAUUAGCGGAAGCAUGCACGGGGAUCCCUUUUGGACCCGAUAUUGUCUAUUGCAAGCUUGCCAUACAAAAAGAAGACGGAGUGGAAUUCAGUUGCCUUCUUGAUCACACUUACUGGACUUUUUCCCCUGCAGUCAGGAGCCAACGAAAUGCGAGUAUGUGUUGUGAAUUUCAGUUCACCGGAAGAUCCAUCGGGAAUUUUACUAGUAGUAAACGGAAUUAAUAGUGGAACUUUGCAGUAUUGGGAGCUGUCAGAAGUUGAGCGAACGAUUCAUUCGCUUUUCUCCACUUUUGCUGCCAUGAGUCGCUUCCUGCAGUGGCAGUGUAUUUCCGUUAAUGCCAGUUCUUUUGUUCUUUUCUCAUUUUAACAGUCGAAUCACCUACGUCUGUCCGUCACGCAAUGUCUGGGUUAACGGCCAAAAAGCGGGUAGCCCUCCACAGCAUCAUUUAGUCAUCGCCACUGCAUGUGGAGAGUUAUUGUUCUUACAUCGCGAGAAUAUGACGCAGGUUGGACACCUCAGCAUUGUGGAUGUGUCGAAAUGUGGAAGCGCCCUUAUCGAAAACGAUCAGCUCGGCGUGUUUCACUGUCACUGGCAAUGCAUUGAUUGCCUUCGAUAACACUGCGACAAAUGUUUGUCUGCAAACUCUCUCCCAUCACAGAUCCUGGAGCUGCAGUCACCAUUCCUUAUGCAUUAAUGUCAUUGGAGUAUUGUUAGCUGACUGGUAUCGACUAUUGGGACGUUGCUUGGAACCUGUAUUGAUCCGGGCGUUGUGGAGCUCAUCUGUGAGCGCUAGAAGAGUAAUUUAACAAUUUCUUUUGUUUUCAAAUCAUAUCCAUAUAGAUUUCUGGUUUUCACCAAACUUGUCUGAAUACACUUUGUAUUUAAAUCCUCAA